GUUCCAGUGGCGCAAUCGGUAGCGCGCGGUACUUAUAAUGCCGAGGUUGUGAGUUCGAGCCUCACCUGGAGCA
rnacentral:tRNA from 1 species